UUAGUUGGUGGAGUGAUUUGUCUGGUUAAUUCCGUUAAACGAACGAGACCUCAGCCUGCUAAAUAGUUACCUGUCUCUCUUACGAGACUUGAUAACUUCUUAGAGGGACUUUGUGUGCAACCACAAGGAAGUUUGAGGCAAUAACAGGUCUGUGAUGCCCUUAGAUGUCCUGGGCCGCACGCGUGCUACACUGAUACGUACAACGAGGUAUAUGUACUUGUACAUCAAUGCUGCUCCGAAAUAGACACAGCUUAAUCUUCUAAAAUACGUAUCGUGCUGCGGAUAGAUCGUUGAAAAUUUUAUAAUAACAAAUUAUGAAUCUUGAAGGUGGAAUUCCUAGUAAGCGCAGGUCAUUAGCCUGCGUUGAUUACGUCCCUGCCCUUUGUA
rnacentral:rRNA from 1 species